AUUGAACGCUGGCGGCAGGCCUAACACAUGCAAGUCGAGCGAGCGGCGGACGGGUGAGUAAUAUCUGGGAAACUGCCUGAUGGGGGGGGAGAACUACUGGAGACGGUAGCUAAUACCGCGUACCAUCAGAUCUGGGCCGAUGGGAGUAGCUAGUGGGUGGGGUAAUGGCUCACCUAGGCGACGAUCCCUAGCUGGUCUGAGAGGAUGACCAGCCACACUGGAACUGAGACACGGUCCAGACUCCUACGGGAGGCAGCAGUGGGGAAUAUUGCACAAUGGGCGAAAGCCUGAUGCAGCCAUGCCGCGUGUGUGAAGAAGGCCUUCGGGUUGUAAAGCACUUUCAGCGGGGAGGCGUUACCCGCAGAAGAAGCACCGGCUAACUCCGUGCCAGCAGCCGCGGUAAUAC
rnacentral:rRNA from 1 species